CUCCAAAUUCCUUGAAAUUAAUCCCUAAAAACCACUUCUCAAGCUUUAAUCUCUAGAUUUUCUUACUUUAUUCAAGGUAAAUGGAGUGAAUUUGGUGAAUUAUUCAAGUAGAAAAUGGAGAAAACAAAGAGAAGAGAAAGAGAGGCUAAAGGUGAAAUGGAGGAGAAGAAGAUGAAGUUCACGUUAGAUGGAGAGGAAGAGGAAG
rnacentral:lncRNA from 1 species